UACGAAGGGUGCUAGCGUUGCUCGGAAUCACUGGGCGUAAAGCGCACGUAGGCGGCUUUCUAAGUCAGGGGUGAAAUCCUGGAGCUCAACUCCAGAACUGCCUUUGAUACUGGAAAGCUUGAGUUCGGGAGAGGUGAGUGGAACUGCGAGUGUAGAGGUGAAAUUCGUAGAUAUUCGCAAGAACACCAGUGGCGAAGGCGGCUCACUGGCCCGAUACUGACGCUGAGGUGCGAAAGCGUGGGGAGCAAACAGG
rnacentral:rRNA from 1 species